CCACACAGCCAAAAAUAAAUUUGGAAGGAUCCAAGAAUCUGUCACAAACUGGAACAGAAUGUUUGAAAGCACAGUAUAUAAAAAGGUAAGUGCAUAAACAACUAAAUGCGAAUGUUGUAAAGGGUGCACUCUAGGUGCUAGAACCUUUAUACUGCCUCAUGUGCAAGGUAC